AACGUAGGACUCAAGCGUUAUCCGGAUUUACUGGGCGUAAAGCGCAAGUAGGCGGACGUCUAAGUCUGACGUGAAAGCUCCCGGCUCAACUGGGAGAGGCCGUUGGAAACUAGGCGACUGAAGGGCAGUAGAGGCGUGCGGAAUUCCGGGUGGAGUGGUGAAAUGCGUAGAUAUCCGGAGGAACACCAGAGGCAAAGGCGGCACGCUGGGCUGUACCUGACGCUGAGUUGCGAAAGCCAGGGUAGCGAACGGG
rnacentral:misc_RNA from 1 species